rnacentral:rRNA from 1 species
CUCCUAGGGGGGCAGCAGUGGGGAAUAUUGCACAAUGGGCGAAAGCCUGAUGCAGCGACGCCGCGUGAGGGAUGACGGCCUUCGGGUUGUAAACCUCUUUCAGUAGGGAAGAAGCCCUCUUUGGGGGUGACGGUACUUGCAGAAGAAGCGCCGGCUAACUACGUGCCAGCAGCCGCGGUAAUACGUAGGGCGCAAGCGUUAUCCGGAAUUAUUGGGCGUAAAGAGCUCGUAGGCGGUUUGUCGCGUCUGCUGUGAAAGACCGGGGCUCAACUCCGGUUCUGCAGUGGGUACGGGCAGACUAGAGUGCAGUAGGGGAGACUGGAAUUCCUGGUGUAGCGGUGAAAUGCGCAGAUAUCAGGAGGAACACCGAUGGCGAAGGCAGGUCUCUGGGCUGUAACUGACGCUGAGGAGCGAAAGCAUGGGGAGCGAACAGGAUUAGAUACCCUGGUAGUCCAUGCCGUAAACGUUGGGCACUAGGUGUGGGGGACAUUCCACGUUUUCCGCCCCGUAGCUAACGCAUUAAGUGCCCCGCCUGGGGAGUACGGCCGCAAGGCUAAAACUCAAAGGAAUUGACGGGGGCCCGCACAAGCGGCGGAGCAUGCGGAUUAAUUCGAUGCAACGCGAAGAACCUUACCAAGGCUUGACAUGGACCGGAAAGACCCUGAAACCAGGUGCCCCCGUC